rnacentral:lncRNA from 1 species
AACAACUACUAUCAUACUAGUAUCAUGUCAUGAGUAUAUAAAGGUGCAUAGCAAUGUAAUCUACAACAUACACUAUGUCUACUCAAGAUAAUAAUGCAAGUCUACUAUGCAUUUCAUGUUUAUUACCCAAUCUACUUGGUUAACCCGUAGGUUAAACCCUCAACUCACUCUCAAUCUCAUAGGUGAGGAGAAGCUGCACUCGCACACCGAGACCGUCUGCGGGACAACUACGUCUGCCCCUAGUGAAGUACUCCGAAGACUCGUGCCUCGGUGGAGCUACCACGCAAAAACAGAUUAGUGAGUAUGAUCCAAUCCUCACAAGAGGAUACCCUGUCUACUAGGGUCAAUGUGCCUCUGCUGCACAAUAUACAAUGCAUCCUAGAUGCUGGGAUCUCUACUGUCCCGAGAACCAUGUCAUGUUUACUACACUAGACUCGAUGCCACUCGUUCGAUCAUUGUAGUAAGUUUUCUACUAGUUGACAUGCCACUCGUUCAAGUUUAGUGUUUCUACUACACUAGUUAAAUGCCCCUCUACUAGGCUAUGUCCAAGUUCAUCACUUUUGCCACUAUAGGAUUCUUUGUAUCAAGACCCAAUCCUCAUGCCUCCCUAGUCCAAGUGUUAAGUCCAUACCAUUACACUACUAAGUAAGCAUGCAAGGAAUGAAAAUAUACUUCUACUAAUCCUAUAAUGCACAAUCAACAUAUGAUGAAUAAAAUUAACUUAGGCAUAAAAAGAAACCCGGUUGCUUCGGGAUGACACUCCCCACCUCUUGAGGGUAUGGAGGCUCUAGAAAUGCGCUUCGGCGUCCUUUACGACGAAGCCUCGGUCUUCUUGGUCCAAAUGAUGCUCAAUCAGCCUUAUUUUGCCGAUAGCCCUUGACCCGCUCAACGAAUUGAAAUUCCGACUUCGCUCCCGUGUUUCGUUACCUAGCAAUUAGGUUUGCAAGGCCUCAAAUGAGAUCAAUCUCAUACUUUACCAAAAAUUCUAUUUUGGUGCCCUAGGGUUCCCAUCAUGCCAUUUACAUUUCGGAACCCUAACUCUAGCUUCAAUCUACCAACAAUGGUGCUAGGGGUCCAUUUGACCCCAUUUUCAAAGCUCAAAACCCAAAAACCCUAAGUUUCAUAAGCUAGGGUUUGGUAGCUUACCUCUUAGCUACACCAAGGAGAAGAGGAGAGGGAGGGGAAGAUGUCCAUGGUCUUCCUCUUGAUCUCCUUCUUCUUCUCCUUCCUUUCCUUCUUUUCCUUUUUUUCUUCUCCUUCUUGUUCUUCUCCUCUUUUCCUUCGAGAGAGAGAGAGAGGGAGCAAGAGAGUGUGAGAGAGGGAGAGAAAUGAGAGUUGGAGAGAGAGAGAGGAACCACAAGCCCUCAUAUUGUGACAAUAUCCAACUGGCCCCCUCAACUUUUCACUCUGUGCACAACCCUCACUGGGCAUUCUGCGUGCGGAGGGACCGGUCUCCCCGACUUGGGACCGGUCCCCGAGAGCUUCAGCUCGGGUCACGCGUUCGGGUACCGGUCUCUCCCAGAGAGACCGGUCCUCGAGAGACCGGUUCCUUCCUGAGAGACCGGUUCCCGAGAGUAGGAUUUUCAGGACUUAGCCAAAUUUCUGGCUUUCUCGCUCGGUUCGCGUUCGGGGACCGGUCCCUCACUGCCAGGGACCGGUUGCCUCAAGCAACCCCGCAACACCAGCCGAUGGGAGCAACUUUGCUCCAGUACAGGUUUUGCCCUAUUUGCUCUCGUGGACUCACUUCCAAUGCACUUUUGGUGAUUUUAGUAUCUUUGGCUUUUCUAAAGCUCACAAACACGACCCUUGGUCGAUUCUGAAUGAAGUCUAACUCUUGUAUUUCGAGAAUUCACUUCCUUACAGGAGAGCCAAGCGGUGGCGGCGGUGGCCAGGGGAGGCCAGGGCCGACUGCGGCAGGCCACUUGAGGCCGGGGAGGGCGGCCCCGACGGUCGGUGGUGGGCGGUAGCGACGGCGCGACGUGACAACGGAGCUCCCAAGUAGAACCCCGGCUAGGGCAUCACCAUCCGUCGUAGCGGCAGAUCGGGACGGCCAGGGGCGACGCUGGUAGACUCUCUAGGACUGCCGGCGACGACUCGUGGCGGCGUAGCGUGGCGGCUGGAUGGAGCCCUGCGGGCGCCUAAGGUCUUCGGGGCUCCUCUCGGCCGCGGCGGCUUUCUGGCGCACAGCCACGCCGGGGAAGCCUUGGAGAGGGUCGCCGGACCUCACAGGACCGGCGGUGAUAGCGGCACGGCUGCAGGACAGCAGUCGGGAUCACCUAGAGAGUUGAUGUCACGUCCCGCUAUCGUCGAUUUGGUCGAUUCGGGCCCGUGCACAGACGCCGAACGGACAGAACCUCCUCUGUCCGCCCAAGGCUCAACAACAAUGAGUACAUGUAUAAAGAAAUAAACAAUUCCCAGGAUAACAUUUCAAUAUACAUGGCUUGCACGAGGGCAAGCAACAAACACAAGUGAUAGUAAGCUAGCUAUACUGAAAAUUCACUAUAAUUUAAAACUUUUAAACUAAACAUACAUAACUGAAUAACUGAAACAUUUAGUUAUUUAUAUGCCCUUUAUACACUCAUUUACAAGUUUCUGUACAUCAAAAUGUAUCACAUGAAAUCCAAAAUGGUAAACUACUAUACUCUGGUGUCAACUAGUUAGGCUGCAGGGCUCUUGCCACGGUCCUCGGCCACACCGCUCGCACUGGAACCUGUAUGGUUAGUGGUGUGAGAACUACUGAAAGUUCCCAGUGGGUUCGACCGCCGAAUUCGCCGACUCACCCACUAGGUCUACUCAGGCAUAUGUAGGCAAGAAAGUAAACGGAUAGUAACCAACUUUAAUAUGUAACUACUACAAUGCCUGUACAAAGCUGAAAGAAUAAUAUGUAAAACUGUAAAUAUGCAUGCAUGCUUUAUUGAAUUUACCCAAUUACUUGGUUAACCCUUUGGUUAACAAUAACUCACUGACACUAUCCCAAAUAUCGGGGAGACGCAAGCUACACCCGACGGGACUGUCAACUGGGGGAGACGCACCUCCUGGUCCAGUAAAGAUGACUACUCCGGAGCUCAUCGUUCAAGGAGGAGCGACCUACCUUGAACCAAACGAAUGUGAGUAUGAUCUGAUCCUCCUUUAGAGGAUUCAACAAUAGACGAUGUCACACUUAACUCUAACUAGCUCUUUAUGCUAGUUUCGCAAUUCUUUUUCUCGAUGCUAACCAAAUCUCUAAUUAAAAUGUCACCAAGUUUAC